GGAAAAUCUUUGCUUACCAAAGAAUUCAUCUGAAAGAUGUUUGCGUAUAGCAGUGACAUUGCUGGCAUUGGCAGAUAUUUACUUAACUGUAACAAUUUUUCUUCAGCAGGCUUGAAUCAGCAUGCAGUAAGUUGGUCAAAUGUGGCUGAACUCCGUGGUCCCUUAACUUGGUCUGAAAACAAAGCUAAUGCAUGGCUGGCAAAAAACCUGAAGCAUUCUUCCACUGUUUGUGCAAAGGAAACCAAAUGGAAAGGGAGAAGCCGCAGAAACCCAGGUCAGCAGAGGACUGAUGCCCUUCAGCAUCAUGCACAGGAAAGUUGAGCACAACUGGGACAGAAAGCACCUCUUGCUUCUCAGUAGUGAGGACCACUGCCUUCUUGUACUACUGCACAUUCUUUAGCCUGGCUCGAGAAGGAUUACUGCAACAAAGACGAGGUAUAUAUCUGGGGAGAUAGUGGCUGGAUUUAUUUGGGCUUUUGGAAAAUUAAGACCUGGUUCAAGCGCAUAGUUCUGUUUUGUUUUCUCUGAGACAGUCAACAGUGUAAUCAAUCCAUGCGUUUUGAAUAACAUGAGAACCUCAGACUGACUCACUGUUUCCUAUUUCACUACCUUGAGACAGGAUGCGAAGCUUAUAAACACAUUCUGUUUGAGUCUCUAUAUGACAUGAAGUUCCUUGCUCAAGUUUACAAGCCCACAUUGUUUCAAAUCCCUAGAAUGACUGUCUGUGGUCCCUUCCAUACAUAAGCAGCUUUCUUUUCUCUAUCACUGUAUUUAUGCCUAAGAUUCUAUCUGACUGGUGAUACAGAAAUAUCUACAUGUCAGUAACUCACAAAAAGAGAAAGAAUGUGGAUCUCAACUGGAUCCUUAGAAGAACCCUUGUUAUUAAGGAGCACACUGCAACUCCAGGUGAGGAGUUCACAAAGUCAAGGGACAACCACAGCCAACAAAAACAUCGAAGAGCAACUUUCACAUACAUUAUUGAGACCUGAGUAAUUGCUGAAGACAAUCAACCAGCUAAUCAGGUUGUAGCAGAAAUGCUAAGUGACAGCUUGAACCAGUGAUUGAGCAGCUGGUGGGAAGGCAGGGCCAACCCAGGGGAGCUCAGGUGUGCACAAUGCCCCUGAGUGACUGGAGGUCACUUAAGUGAGGUCUUCCCAGACCUCAUUUAAGGGCUAGCAGUGGAGUCAAGGGUAUUUUGUUGGAGACUGCUGCCUACCUGAGGUCUUUGAAAGGUAAGUAGUGUCUUUCUUUUAUCUCUGCACUUGUGGUUGUUGUAUUUGAGCAAACUCUCGCUUGCUGCAGCCUAGGACCUUGCUAUUCAUGGAAUUGCUCUGUUUGGAAAAGACCUUCAAGACGAAGUGCAACCUAACUGUACUACUUGAACUCUAUUCUGCUGUCAUUGUUGAGCUUUCCAUCAUAUUACACAGGUAUAGGAUAAACUGAUGUCUGUCCAUUAAAAUAAAUAGUCGUCUUGUUUGGAGAAAUAAAGAUAA
rnacentral:lncRNA from 1 species